GCGGGGGGGGACGGAGAAGGCUAGGUCGACCGAAUGUUGGUUAUCGGCUUAAGUAUUCGAGGUGUUGAGAAGCGGUGAAAACGUUUUGAGCUGAGAUAUGAAUAGGAGGUGCUAAGGCACUGAACCGACUGAUGUCAUACUUCCAAGAAAAGCCCUAACUACCAUAAGCAAUAAAUACCUGUACCCUAAACCGACACAGGUGGGUAAGUAGAGUAUACUAAGGGGCGCGAGAUAACUCUCUCUAAGGAACUCGGCAAAAUAGCCUCGUAACUUCGGGAGAAGAGGUACCCUUUAUGGGUUGCAAGAACCAGACGCUGGCGACUGUUUACCAAAAACACAGGUCUCCGCAAAGUCGUAAGACGAUAUAUGGGGGCUGACACCUGCCCAGUGCCGGAAGGUUAAGGGAGCUUGUUAGUCUUUGACGAAGCUCGUGACCGAAGCCCCGGUGAACGGCGGCCGUAACAAUAACGGUCCUAAGGUAGCGAAAUUCCUUGUCGGGUAAGUUCCGACCCGCACGAAAGGUGUAACGAUCUGCGUACUGUCUCGGAGAGAGACUCGGCGAAAUAGACUUGUCUGUGAAGAUGCGGACUACCUGCACCUGGACAAAAAGACCCUAUGAAGCUUUACUGUAGCUUGAUAUUGGCUCCGGGCUUUGUUUGCGCAGGAUAGGUGGGAGGCGUUGAAAGUUUUCUUGCGGGAAGAUUUGAGCCGUUGGUGAGAUACCACUCUAACAAUGCUAGGAUUCUAACCC
rnacentral:rRNA from 1 species